UCAGCGCUACUGCCCCCUCCUGGUUACAGCGGCCUCCCUCCCUCCUCUCGGCUGCCUCGCAACGCCAGCAGCCGCACGCAGCUCGGACUCGGACACUCAACGACGGCGUCGCGGUGAAUAAGCUCCGAGGCGCUGACCCUGCCACGCACCUGAAGAACAUCUGCUGUGGACCUUUCCUCGCAACCGCCUGACACAUUUCAUACGCACCAGGGUAGCCAACCGGAACAACCUCUGCUUAACCUCCCUGCCUUUAUAUGCAUCAUUCCUCUCUCUAUCUCUCGCUCUCGAGUGAUUAUGCUUUGUGAGAGCGAGAUCAACGUGCCAAUGCACGUCUGCGUGCCUCCCAGCCGCGCACACAAGCACUCAGGCCUUCGGUCGGGUUCAUUGUCAUUGGAGUUGCCAUUGCUGGUUAUGCGACAACAUUGUGCUCUCCGUUUCUUUUUCGCCGCCUUCGCGUCACGCUCCGCAUUUAUUGCUGCCGACCGCUGAGGCAGGGUGCGUGGCAUUGUUAUUUUGGGUUCCUCCACGGUGGUGGGCGGAUCAUAGUGCCGCACACUACAGGCGCCCAAAUGACCAAUCAGAGCGUGCGGCCUCUCGGAGAACGGAACGCCUCGUCCCGGCAUGACACCCUGCCAUUUUCACUCGGGCGAGAAGCAUUGUCCGGAUUUCGUAAUCCUUGUGCGGUUACUUCACCUGAGUGCACUGCAGGGGCGUGAACACGCAGCUAACCGGGGUCCCGCGACCGGUACGUUUGUUCUGUUAUUACCUUGUUGUACUGCUUGAGCGCAUUCAGCCAGCGCCGUUCUGGUGCAGACGAAUGUCCCCUCUCCCUCUCCCAUUCCUCUCGCUUCGAGAUUUUUCUGGAAGCGCCACAAGAGAAGCGGAGGGAGUGAGGGGAUAUGGGGGAGGGGGCGCUCGAGGCCUGUGCGACGAGCGCCGCUUCCGCCUGCUGCGACCUCGCGCAGACUCAGCCGCGGUAUAGGCACAGUGUCCUGUGACUCCAGUCCGGUUUAACGCUUCUCGAAUUGCGCACAUUGUUUCGUCUGAAGUAACUUUAGUUUCAUCGUCCUCAUGACGGCCUUGUCUGCGAACAGAACACGACUUUCGUUUCCUCUUGACUAGCUGAGUCACAGAUGACCACCAAGUUGAAAAGAACGGUGCGAGCGGAAAUCAUGCUGAUGGUCGCUCCAGCGAGUAUACAAACAAACAAGAAAGGGAAAACAGAUGGCGGAAAAAAAUAGGUGCCUCUUCACAUCGCUUUUUCAAAUGCGUAAGCAUUUCUAUGCCUACCCAACGAAUAAAUCCGUCCGUCCGUCUGUCACGUAAGACGAUCGCUUUCAAGAUAGGGCCCACAGCAGCGAGCGAAUUGAACUUCUAGCUGCCUCUCGCUUCAACGCGAAUUAAGUGGCGUUUACAUCGCAGAUCGCUUUCAAGAUAGGGCCCGCACGUUUUGCUUCAACGCGAACUAAGCGGCGAGAACACAGCGCACACAAAGCUAUCAGCACUUUUCAAAGUUUAUUGCUUCAAAGUGGUUGCAUGUUUGGAUAGAUAGGAUAUAAAAAAGGAGGUCCCAUACUUGUCUCGCCGCACUCUGCCCCAUCGCAAAUGGCUUUCAAGAUAGGGCCCGCGCGGCCGCACCAUACGCAGCCGCCGCCGGGGCGCGGCUGAUCACGGUUCGUAAUGGUUUGACGCGAAUGGAUAAGGAGGCGCUAAAGUGCGAUAACGGCUUAUAAUGAUCGUAACGUCAUCAGCGCACCUGGCGCCGCCACCUGCAGUAGUUUGCUUGCGUCAUCAAUUCACUUUGCGCCGCCAUCCGCUGCAAUUCGUGUCACCGCAGCGCUGUCGUUUAUACUGGUCGGAUAAAGUUUGACAACGUUGAUAAUGGCACCGGGUUGUGUGGAGAUGAGCAAGUAGCACAAUG